rnacentral:sRNA from 1 species
AGAAUUCGGAUCAUUUAACUCCUCCCAGAAUGAAUGAUCCGAUCGACCUGGUCAUCUUCCUCCCAGAAACGACCAGGUUAUCAGAAGGACCGGCGACAUCCACCUCCUCCCGGGUGUCGCCGGACAC